rnacentral:tRNA from 1 species
GAGGGUGUAACUCAGUGGUAGAGUGUGUGCUUAGCAUGCACAAAGUCCUGGGUUCAAUCCCCAGUACCUCCA